CCCCUUACUAAGUAAAAAAAAGACAAAAAAUACCUCCCUCAGCCAAACACCUCAUAGAAUUUUUCAAUGACAAGUAAACCUGAGUCGAUAGACUCCAAGGGAUCCUU